rnacentral:lncRNA from 1 species
GCCCCGCCCACUCUUUGACUGGAAUGAGAGCGAGUGCAUGAAUUUGUUUGUGCCAUUUCUUUGGUUCUUUUCUCCCAAAUCCUGGGGGACAAUCAUCGUUGCAACAUGGUUUGGUUUCUGAUUCUCAUCUGGUUUGUCCAAGUGGGCAGUGUUCCCAUCGUCAAUUUCCCAAAUUCUACUACUUCAAAUUCUACUUUCCCUGCCACAGUGGACAACUCUACAAACCCCAUCAACAAUUAUACAAAUGUGACUUUCUCUGCCACAGUUUCAUGUGUGUAUCAAGAACGGUCCUCCACCCAAAGGACAUUCAGCCAACUUGACACAACUGUGGGGAGCAUUGGAGUCAACCUGGG